rnacentral:rRNA from 1 species
GACGAACGCUGGCGGCGUGCCUAAUACAUGCAAGUCGAGCGGAUUAAGUUAGAAGCUUGCUUCUAACUUGGUUAGCGGCGGACGGGUGAGUAACACGUAGGUAACCUGCCUGUAAGCUCGGGAUAACUAUCGGAAACGGUAGCUAAGACCGAAUAAUUGAUUCUGGUGCAUGCCGGAAUCAUGAAACGCGGAGCAAUCUGUGGCUUAUAGAUGGGCCUGCGGCGCAUUAGCUAGUAGGUGAGGUAACGGCUCACCUAGGCGACGAUGCGUAGCCGACCUGAGAGGGUGAACGGCCACACUGGGACUGAGACACGGCCCAGACUCCUACGGGUGGCUG